rnacentral:rRNA from 1 species
UUAAAAAGCUCGUAGUUGGAUUUCUGGUUGGAGCAAUCGGUCGGCCCCGCAAGGGGUCUGUACUAGACGUUGUCUCGGGCCAUCCUUGUGGGAACUGUGCGGCCGUUAACUCGGUUGUAUGUGGGAACACAUCGUUUACUGUGAAAAAAUUAGAGUGUUUAAAGCAGGCUUAGGCCGUUGAAUACAUUAGCAUGGAAUAAUAAGAUAAGACUUGGGUCAUUAUUUUGUUGGUUUGCGGACUCAGGUAAUGAUUAAUAGGGAUAGUUGGGGGUAUUCAUAUUUAAUUGUCAGAGGUGAAAUUCUUGGAUUUAUGAAAGAUGAACUUAGGCGAAAGCAUUUACCAAGGAUGUUUUCAUUAAUCAAGAACGAAAGUUAGGGGAUCGAACAUGAUUAGAUACCAUCGU